GGCGUCGUCGCCGUUGUCAUCGUCGACAGUCUUGACUCCUUGGUGAAAUUCAGAGAGGGGUGCAUCCUCUCUCUCCCUAUCCCUGCCCCUCCUACCAGUCGGUCUGUUAAAGGAAUUUCCUAUGAUUAGAAUGAGUAUUUCUAUACGACGCCCUGAACUCUCCUCCUAUAUGUGUCUUAGGACCAGAAUAAUCUAUGCUCGAGACUCUGCUCGGACAUGAUAGGUUCCUCCUUGGAUCGCACCGAUUAUGUGCUCGAUCGAAUUCAGUCAUCCUGUCUGAUGAAAACACCUUCAUCGUCAUGAGAAUCACUGGUGUCUCAAAUUUUCUAGAUAUAAUUGAAUAAUUAAUAGAAAAAGGAAGAAUGGACGAAGUAGAAGGGUUAAAUGGGAAAAGUUACAAAUUUGGAAGUGUCAUGAAUUUUCGGUCUUAAUCUUUAUUGAUCAUCAAUUGGCUACUCAACAGCCAGUGCAAUGCACACGUGCUGAAACAUCCAAGCCGUCGACGAACAAUUGACAAACGGAAGCUGAAGAACAAUCCCGAAUACAACGGCGAAGAGACAUGGAUCAAAGGGAUUCCCGUGAAAGGGUGAGAGAAGAGAGAGCCGAGAAGUUGAAGAAGCGACGUACAGACGUCUAACAAUUUAUAAAGCGGUAGAAUGUUCUCUCUUUCUCGUCUGUUGUCGUGUUGUGCUCGCUGGUCCCUCUCUUCAGAACCUGACGAACGCAUACCGUAGGAGUUAGCAUAAUUGACUGCGUACGUUAAUCGAGCGGUCAUGGAAGAAUGCUCGCGAACGUUUCGAGCUGCUCUUGCUCCCCGGGACGGCAUUAUUUUCAAGCACUCCCGAGUGAAACGAGUUAAAGGAAAGAAAAGCAGAGCGAGGCGAGGCGAGGCGAGGCAGGCCGAUGCAAGGCGAACGGCAGCCAAACUAACAAGCUGGAAUGCAACGCAGCGAACGACGCGGGUCACCGUUUUCUUUGCGGUACCACGAGUAGAAAGGUGGAUGCGCGUCCUUAUUUUACAGUGUCGUGCCUCUUCACGGUCACUUGCGGCUCGUGUAAGUUGACCGAACCGCGAAUCGUAAACGAACUGCGAUUCGAGAACGAAUCACUGCUCGAUUUCAGGCACUGAUUAACCCGUUACCUCUUCUUCGGUAUCGUUUUUCUCUCUAUAUCGAAGUCCCUAGAUUCUUGCAACCCUGAUCGUUUUAGGUUAGGACGCCAUUUUGAAUACAUCAGUUGUCCUAACCUAACUUUUUCCUCACUGGACGAUUUCAGGCAGUGAUUAACCCGUUAUCCCUUCUUCCAUAUCGUUUUCCUCCCUAUAUCAAUGGUUUUAGAUUUUUUCAACCCCGAUCGUUUUAAGGUAGGGCGCCAUUUUAAAUACAGCGGUAAUUCUAGAUAAAUUAAUCUCCUACUCAAUCUUAUUCAUAAAAAUCUAUCAAGCAAAUCUUAUAAUUAGACUAAAUCACUAUUAUUCCCCUCGUUUCUUUUUUCCUUUUUCUUUCAUCUAAGAGAAGAUGAUAUAGUUUGAAAUUUCCCGCGUGAAUUCCAUCAGAUUGACUUCCUUUCCCCUCGAUUUACCGUGCAACCAUGUAUCGAUGAAUAUCCACCCACUUUAGCAUGGAACGGAAGGAAGCCUUCCAAAUGGAAAGUUGGCAGCGGGGACGCGCGAACGAGCACGCCUAUCCCUCCAGAACAUCGUGUUGGACGGAACAUCGGCGUUAACGAGCGCAGCGAACGUCGUCGAGUGUGGAACAAAUUAGUUGGUAACCCCCGGGGCGCGAGAUCAUCGUCGCGGUCAUUAGUAUGCCGCGACUGAGAAGAUUCUCCGCGAAUCAAUUGGACGAUGAGGUUCGCUGAUGAUAAAAACACUGCCUCCGAGCAUCUUCAGAAUGGCAACGUUGCGAACCUUCUGUGUAUACGAUAAUAUUUUCUGACCAGAGAUCGUUCAUCUCUCACCCCAGUGUCAGACGAGCUACAGAGUAUCCGGGAAAUACAGAUCAGUGCUGCACAAGAGUUUGCCCUGAUGGCAGUAUCGUACACUGCCGGGCAUGAUAGCCAUCUGUAGAAACCCCACCAUUCGUUUUUGUAUUUAAGAUUAAUUUAAGGAUUACAAUUAUUUUCAGUAGACUCUCGAUAUAUCGCCACCUAAGCUACUUCUCCUUCCAAUAUAAACAGGAACGAAUGACGAAUUCCGACAAAGACAUUUUGUAAUGGCCGUCGCAGUAACAAAGUGUUCAUGACGAAUUUUCUUCCUAGACUGACUCACUUCUGCCAUUUUCUUGCCCUUGCGAUCAUAAAAGCAGGUACUAUAUCUUCGAGCCCAACUAUACCUUAUCGCGCGCAGACAAAUAUUCGUUCUAUAGAGUUUGUGGCCGUGGCUAUGAUGUGGCAUGUGUUGAAGACUAUGGCGUGACAAUUUGACGACAGGGUUCUCGUUUCUUCUAUUUUGGGAAGCAGCAAAGGAAUGGAAGUUUCUGCGAGCAUCUCGUGUAAUUAAACCAUCUGGAAGGAUAGGAUGGAAGAAAUGAAAUUGGCGACUUGUAACGCGGAGCUUCCUGGUUGGGAACAGGGAUGUUACGUACUAAGGACUCCUUUUAUCCGUCGAAGAUUCUGUAAAGACGAAACUCCACUCUUCUGGUCGGUUACUGCGUAGUAUACAUAUACCAAUAACUGGAACAAAGCCCACUUUGAAAGACGGCCCCAACAGCACCGGUUGAAUGGACAGCUCACAGCUUUGGGGAGUGGGAGCCAGUCGGCGGCCGGGUGCUUGAAUCAUCCCUUGCUGCUAAACAUCCCCCUAUAGCUUCACGAGCGGGGGGGCUUUUACACGGGGUGAACUCGUGUUUAUCUGCAGGGUGUACUUAGGUAGACCCGCGCAAUAUCCACAAAAUCAUUUGCUUGUAUUAUCUGGUUAACUGGCCACGAAACUUUUUCAUUUACACCAACCACGACUGCGCUCUUUUUCGUCUGAAAAAUUUAAUUUUCUUCUAUGCUCUUUCUUAUCACUUUUAUUUUCGUUUAGAUAAUUUUUCCAGAGGGUUGAAUGUACGAAUUAAUAGAAAGAGGGUUGCGAUUUGGAAUCAUUGAACUUUUAACCCUCGAAUAAGGGAUUAAAAUUUCUCGUCUUUCUUUUAUCCUCUGGAUAUUAUUUAUCACGAGACGGGUUUAUUUGGGAAAAAAAUGUCUAAUCGUACAUUUUUAUCGAAGGAAGAAUCAGUUGCCUCUGGACAUAAACCUUCUAAAAACCGAUUAACAUUGCUUUUUGGUGAAAACUUAGCUGGUGAUUUAAAAUUGAAACCCAUGUUAGUUUAUGAAACAAAAAAUCCCAGAGCAUUGAAAGGGAAAGAUAAAGAAUUUCUUCCAGUCAUUUGGAAAUCAAAUAAAAAAAUCUGGAUUACUGCGUUAGCCAGCAGUUAAGCAAUAUUGUAAAGAUAAAAAUUUACAAUUUAAAGCAUUAUUAAUCUUAGACAAUGCGGGAAUCAGAGUUAUGUUUCUUCCUCCCAAUACUACCUGCCUCACACAGCCCAUGGACCAAACAGUGAUAGCUACGUUUAAACGAUAUUAUAUGAGGAUUAUUAACCCUCGAACGAUGCAGGGUGAAUCGUGACCGAAAUGUAUAAAAAUAUCUGAAAUUCAAACGGCGUUGGAUGAAUUGUGCAGAAAGGAUAGAAAACGCUUUGUUGGCAAAGCUCGAGUUGCGCGUUAUUAAAAUUACAGGUCAAGAAUAACUUGCUACCGUAUAAGUCCGUCGCCCUCAACUGCUUCCCCAGGACAACCUUGCCGACGCCGAGCGGCGCAUGCAACUGAUGCAACUACCACGACGACAAUUUGCAAAUGACCGCUCAUGCUUAUUACCCGCGGCCGUAAAACAAAUAAUCUUUUCGCGUGCAGGCUUGAUACGCGAUCACUGUUCAUCCGCCAGCCGCGGAUACGAUGAUAUAAAAUCAAGUGCAACAACGCGCCGGUAUCGUUUCGCGGAGGGAAGAACAUUAAAAAUACGUAAAAUGCUGCACGGUAUCUUGAUAAAAUCCAAAGCGAAUAUUUUCAUUAAUUUUUUUUCCCUCCGUAAACUUGUUAAACAAUGGUUAUUGAAUUUCGAAGUUGACCUUCGAUCAGGAGAUCGUUUCAUGAUGAUAGAGAUUCGAUGAAAAUUGUAAAUAUCAUUGCAACGUAUUACAGAGAGUGUGAUAAAAUAAGUAAAAUAAUUAAUUUAUUAAUUAAUUGUAAAAUUGUCGCACCUUAGUUUAAAAUGAAUAAACGACGAAGGAUGUCGGUAUAAAUAGAACGAUCCUUGAUAAAUUAUUUUUUAAACAUUCAUGGAAGCAUAUGUAAUUACGAGAUCGAUAAUUUAAAAUGUAAAAUUGGAUCUCUUUAAAAUAGGCACUGUAUCGAGGUACCUCGGUUGAUCGACGAAGCGAGCAACGCGAUAAGUAUUCGAAAAUCGUCGUUGAAUGGGUGUCCGGUUUCGAACAAAAACGUUAAGCACAAUUUUCAAAAUGAUUCAGAGCCCGAUAAAAUUUCGAACGAUACCGUUUAUCUGGUUGUUUCGAAACUCCGAAUGAUACGAUCUGCUGUAUGAUCGAGAGCGACGAUAGCCUAGGUGCAAAAAAAAAGUACCGGAAAGCAAUGAGGCAAAAAUUUCACGAAAUUUCAUAAUUUUGAAAAUAUUCUCAGUUCUUUGUUGCCCGAUAUGUGUGCGCGUUCGCAAUGAAUUUAUGCGGCGGGCAGAAACGCGCGCGCCCGCCAACACGAAUAUAGUUAUCCGCGUACCAGCCGUUAUUCACAUGGUAAUCAGAGUGUUAAGCAAUAAAUUACCUGCAUUACUGGGGAAUAUCGAUUCGGCUAGAGAAGAGGGCGUACUCAGUCGCUGCAGUCCAAUGCAGCUUCGCUCGUGCCAAAGGUGAAGUGCUCUGCACCCUUAACUUCCUUCGGAAUACAAGUUUUUCAACUUAACUUUAUAACGAAGAAAUGGCACAUCGCAAUAAACCACGUCGUUGUCCCCGUUUUGCAACUUAAAAUUUAAUAUUUAAAUUUUUUUAUAAGUACCUGUAAUUCUAAGAAAAUUCUAAAUGUCAUAAACAAACAUUUUUACUUAUUAAAGAGAGAGCAAUUACAGAAAAAAAAAAUUCAUGACGACAAACAAUAAUUAAAAUUCUUAAUUGACGAAAUGUUUUCAAUCGAAUCAGCGAUUUUGAUGAAAAAUUCAUUAGAAAUAGCCAUCAAUUAACACCGAGCGACACGUUUUUACGCGAUCGAUAUUGACCUUUGACACGUGGUAAUGUCGUCACACUGAUUCCCACCGUUCUUUGAAAACGUAUCGCAUAUUAUAAUUCGCGCGUAAGGUGGUCGCGGUGCAUCGAUGCGCGGUGCAGCUGCGCAGCGGUGUCCUUCGAAGGCUGCAAGCGUUCUAGUGCGCAGCCGCAGUAAAUCAUUAUGUCGCAUGGCGCGUUAUCCGCACCACUGCGAGCGGCCUCCGCGCGUCAAAAUAUUGUUACUGGAUUGAUAAUUAACUGAGAUUCCAGGCCUCCGUGAGAGUUGACGAGAAAUCGCGGAGAGAUGGUCGGAGUCACGGACGAAAGAGGUUCGCGCGAUGAUACAGGUUAGGUGGAGAUUAAUGCAUUAUUGCAUUUGAUUUGAAAACAAGGAUAAAUAGGAAAUUUUAAAUAGAAUUUUAUCUAGAAUGAUACUUUUUAAUCUUAUACUUUACAGUCAAUAUUUUCAGGUUUGCUGAAAACUUAAUGGCUAACGUGAAAAUUAUUUUUUUUUAUAUUAUUAAUGAUUUUUAAACUUCUUUAUUUCUAUUUUAAAAUUAAUAGCUGGACACCAGUGGAAGAUAGAAAAUUUGUAAUUGCUAGAUUAAAAUUUUGAAUGUUACCGAAUUUUAUAUUCAAACUAUAGUAGUUUACUAUCUUUUUGAAAUUACCAGUCUUAAUAGUCUUUGAAGUUUACGCUCGGAUAGCCACUGAUUUCGAGGAAUAAUAAUAUUACACGUCAUAUCCUCGUUACCUUGACCGAUAUUUCCAAGUCGUUGUAAUCUUAUUUAAUGUUAUCUUUACAAACGUUGUUCAGGUACACUCGGAUUAGCAGCAGUAUUACUGGAACUAUCGGAAGCAUUAAUCCAUUUGAAUACAGUAUUCCUAACAUGAAACGAAAUGCAUUUUAAUUAUCCUUAGUUACAUAAAAUUGAAUUUACGCUUUCAAUAUAUGUAUUUAUUAUCGUUGGCAGUUUGAUACAAUUAUAAAUUGACUUGAUUCGAACAACAAUCCUUAUCCUUUUAUCAAACAUCGAAUUUGGUCCCAAAACACAGAUCAUACUAGCGAUUCGUCAUUAAUUCGUCGUCCAAUCGAACUGCAUCCAAACGCUGUUCAAUACGACAGAAACACUAAUCCUGACUGUAUGUUCAUUGAUUUAAAGAGCUCAGGAGAUUCGUCAGUCUCGUAAUCCCAACAUCAAUAUAAAUCAAACCAAACCAUCUGUAUUACGUAAAUUUUCCUAUCCUCUAUUUAUAGAUCUCUACUUUUCUUCAUCAAUUAUUAUUGUACUACAUUGUAAACUGGCAAUGAUGUUUACUGCGAAAUAAUCCUUCUACCAACUGAUUGUUAAUUACAAAAGGAUUAGUACGCGUCUAUUCAGCGGAAUUAUAAUUGAAUCAAGAUAGGAUAUAGAUCAUCCAUUGAACGGUGGAUCCUGGGUCAAUCAUGACCCAAACCUACCGAAUGUAAAUAUACAAGGGUGCUUUAAUUAAAAUUAGACACUCAAAUUUUUUAAUGAAAAAUUUUCUUACAUUGAGAAAAAAAUAAUUUAACGUUUGGAAAAUGAAAAUGAAAAGGAAUCCACCGAUGGAUCGUCGAGGUUGUUUGUCACAGUCGAAAAUAUAAUAUGUAUGUGUGUGAUCGGUUGACACAAUCGAUUGAACCGUGACGAUAAUUGAAUAUCUGUUUGAACUCGCACAGCAAGACGGACAAAGAUCGUGUGCUAUCGCAAUUGUUGUUUAACUGACUGCUAGUUGACUGGGUGGCUUUGGCGAGGAAGAUCGAGGGAUUCUCGUCGAAACAGCUUACCUGAGAUACGCAAACCGAAAAAUGUUAUUUAUUUCACAAGUAUUAAUAAUUAUUAUUCAAAAAGAAUAAUCUUCCUCGCUUGUAUCGCACAUUUCAAACGUUACUUCGUAAUCAGUAAUGCAAUGAAUUUUCCUCAAUUUCCCAGAAAAUUGCAUAUCGCGCCUCGUUUUUAAUCUAUAUAAUUAACAACGAUGAUUCGCCUAUCUUUCAGCUUAUCCGACCAACAACAAUAGAAGUUUUUCGAUAGCAAUGCUAACUAAAACAUAGGUUUACAUUAGCUUUGCAUACAUAAGUCCGCAGAAAAUACAAUAUUCUUUAAACGAACAGUCGUUUCUCGAGCAAUCGCAGGAAAAAAAGAAAAAAAAAAAACG